rnacentral:rRNA from 1 species
GACGAACGCUGGCGGCGUGCUUAACACAUGCAAGUCGAACGGAAAGGCCCUGCUUUUGUGGGGUGCUCGAGUGGCGAACGGGUGAGUAACACGUGAGUAACCUGCCCUUGACUUUGGGAUAACUUCAGGAAACUGGGGCUAAUACCGGAUAGGAGCUCCUGCUGCAUGGUGGGGGUUGGAAAGUUUCGGCGGUUGGGGAUGGACUCGCGGCUUAUCAGCUUGUUGGUGGGGUAGUGGCUUACCAAGGCUUUGACGGGUAACCGGCCUGAGAGGGUGACCGGCCACAUUGGGACUGAGAUACGGCCCAGACUCCUACGGGAGGCAGCAGUGGGGAAUAUUGCACAAUGGGCGGAAGCCUGAUGCAGCAACGCCGCGUGCGGGAUGACGGCCUUCGGGUUGUAAACCGCUUUCGCCUGUGACGAAGCGUGAGUGGCGGUAAUGGGUAAAGAAGCACCGGCUAACUACGUG